UACAUUUUGAGAGCAUCAGAAGAAGAUAAUCCGGAACAGUUUUUAGACCGGCAUACAAGACUCUGUGGUUGACUUUCUGAAAAGGUCAGUCCUUCUUGGCCUUUUCUGCAGUUCCUGGAACACUGCUCUCAAAAAAUUCAAGCUGAUAGUGGGGAACCAAAAGAGCAGCCAAAGCCUCAGGAAUCCCAGUGACAAG
rnacentral:lncRNA from 1 species